GCCCGGAUGGUGGAAUCGGUAGACACGCAAGACUUAAAAUCUUGUGACCAUUGGUUGUGCGGGUUCAAGUCCCGCUCCGGGUA
rnacentral:tRNA from 2 species